ACACACACACAGAACCGGACUAAGCAUUAGACACAAUCCUUUGGGAAUAACAAAUAUAACAUCAAAACCAAAAACAUGAAUUUGGGAUAGAUAAGUACCGUGACACGUCUUAUAGUGAUGUGAAUUCACAUUAAAAAAAAGGAGAAAACAAACGACACAACGGAAACACAACGUUAAAAUGUAACACACACAGAAACGAACUAUAAUAUAACAAUGGCCAUAUUUCUGACUUGGUUCAGGACAUUUUUAAAGGAAAAAAUGGUGGGUUGAACCUGGUAUUGUGUCAUGUCAAACCUCCCUCUUUUAUGGCAAUGUGAAAUAUAACAUUAAAAUGACAACACAACAUUACAGGACUACAAUAUAAAUAAAUAGGAGAACAC
rnacentral:lncRNA from 1 species